rnacentral:rRNA from 1 species
UGGGGAAUUUUGGACAAUGGGGGCAACCCUGAUCCAGCCAUGCCGCGUGUGUGAAGAAGGCCUUCGGGUUGUAAAGCACUUUCGGACGGAACGAAAUCGCGCGGGUGAAUAAUCCGCGUGGAUGACGGUACCGUAGGAAGAAGCACCGGCUAACUACGUGCCAGCAGCCGCGGUAAUACGUAGGGUGCGAGCGUUAAUCGGAAUUACUGGGCGUAAAGCGUGCGCAGGCGGCGCCGCAAGUCAGGCGUGAAAUCCCCGAGCUUAACUUGGGAAUGGCGCUUGAAACUACGGUGCUGGAGUGUGGCAGAGGGAGGUGGAAUUCCACGUGUAGCGGUGAAAUGCGUAGAGAUGUGGAGGAACACCGAUGGCGAAGGCAGCCUCCUGGGCCAACACUGACGCUCAUGCACGAAAGCGUGGGGGAGCAAAACAGGAUUAGAUACCCCGGUAGUCCCUGGCCCUAAACGAUGAGUGCUUGGUGUGGCGGGUAUCGAUCCCUGCCG